CUUAACAAAGUCACACCAGCGGGUUUCCUCUGUGUCCUUCAAUGUUGGUACAUUGCUCAACAUACUCAGUAAAGUCUUGUUGUAGCGCUUUACAGGAUUACCUCUGGGGUGAUACGGGCAGGUUCUCACUUUGCGUAUACCUAGCAGGGGGCACAGUUCUCGGAUGGCUCUAUUGAGAGGAAGUCCAUGCAGACGAGCUCCAGCGGCCUGGUGGUAUUGAUGUUUACAAGUGGGGCUGCCUUGUCAGGAGGGGCUUUUCUGCAGACACAUCUCUCACAAGUCUUCACUUUCUUCUCAAUCUCUUAAGCCAUUUUGGGCCAAUAGAAGCAAGAUCUGGUAAGUUCAACUGUUCGCUUGAUUCCUAGAUGGCCCAUAUUAUCAUGUUAUGUAUUAUCAGGUUUUGCAACACAGUGGAUCUGAGGGCCUCAGGGAGAACGAACUGCAUCAGAAUCUCUGUUCCAGACAGGCGCUUUCGACCAUCUGCAUCGAGAUUGUGUUUUCCGGCACUGUAUUUGAUGUCGAAGUUGAAUGUGGACAAUGCUGCCAGCCAGCGGUAGCUAGCGGCAUCUAGCUUCGCUGUGGUGAGAAGAGCAGCUUCAAGAAAGAUGGUGCUUACAUCUGUAUGAAGGAAGUACUGCAGUUUUGGAUCAGCAUAGCCUAGCACAGGUGAAGAGAAAGAUAGAUGAUCUGAUACCAGAGAGAAAGGAUAAGGGUUACUAGAAUCCGGGUUGGAGUCCCAGAGAAAGUACCAAGUUCCUUUAGGUCGGGUUGGAGUCCCGACGCGGAUACCAGAGAGACUGUUGAUCUGAUCUUAAAUACAUUGCACUCAUUUAUUUGCAUAUGUUUUCUUUUACUUAUUUAUUAUUUUAUUUUAUCGUAUGACAAUGUUUAUAUGUGAAGCAC
ensembl:lncRNA